rnacentral:rRNA from 1 species
GACGUAGGGGGCCAGCGUUGUUCGGAAUUACUGGGUGUAAAGGGUUCGUAGGCGGUGCGGCAAGUCGGGAGUGAAAUCUCUGGGCUUAACCCAGAGGCUGCUUCCGAGACUGCUGUGCUUGAGUGUGGGAGAGGCGCGUGGAAUUGCAGGUGUAGCGGUGAAAUGCGUAGAUAUCUGCAGGAACACCCGUGGCGAAAGCGGCGCGCUGGACCACUACUGACGCUGAGGAACGAAAGCUAGGGGAGCAAACAGG